rnacentral:rRNA from 1 species
UGGUACCUACUGUCCUGGCUGGAUCUUACCUUCUGGUGAACUGUCGUGUCUCCUCUGGGGGUGCGGCAGGAAACCAAGACAAUUACUUUGAAAAAAUUAGAGUGUUCAAAGCGCGCCUUCCCCUGAAUACUUUAACAUGGAAUAAUAAAAUAAGACUUUGGUUCUUUUUUGUUGGUUUCUAAGACCGAAAUAAUGAUUAAUAGGGAUAUUUGGGGGCAUUAAUAUUUAAUUGUCAGAUGUGAAUUUCUUGGAUUUAUGAAACACUAACUUCUGCAAAAGCAUUUGCCAGGGAUGUUUUCAUUAAUCAAAAACGAAUGUUGGGGGAUCGAACAAUAUCAUAUACCGUCAUACUCUUAACCAUACACUAUGCCCACUAGGGAUCACACAGGGAUAUUUUUGACUUGUUUGGCACCUUAUGAAAAAUCAAAUUUUUUGUGUUCUGGGGGAGAGUAGGGUCGCAAGGGUGAAACUUAAGAGAAUUGACGAGAGGGGCCCCCCCAGGAGUGGCGCCUGGGGUUUAAUUUGACUCCACACGGGGAAACUCCCCAGGUCCAGACAUAGUAAGGAUUGACAGAUUGAGAGCUCUUUCUUGAUUCCGUGGGGUGGUGGUGCAUGGCCGUUCUUAGUUGGUGGAGUGAUUUGUCUGGUUAAUUCCGUUAACGAAGGCGACCUCAACCUGAUAAAUAGUUCGGCCAACGUUUGUUGGUCGUCAACUUGUUAGAGGGACUAUUGA